GAAACUCGCCUCUUUGAAGUCGGAAUCGCUAGUAAUCGCAGAUCAGCAUGUUGCGGUGAAUACGUUUCCUGGUCUUGUACACACCGCCCGUCAAACCAUGAGAGUCGCCAACACCCGAAGUCCGCUUUGCGGCCUAAGGUGGGGGAGAUGAUUGGGGUUAAGUCGUAACAAGGUAAC
rnacentral:rRNA from 1 species